rnacentral:rRNA from 1 species
UACGUAAGGUGCAAGCGUUGUCCGGAAUUAUUGGGCGUAAAGAGCUCGUAGGCGGUUUGUCGCGUCUGCCGUGAAAGUCCGGGGCUCAACUCCGGAUCUGCGGUGGGUACGGGCAGACUAGAGUGAUGUAGGGGAGACUGGAAUUCCUGGUGUAGCGGUGAAAUGCGCAGAUAUCAGGAGGAACACCGAUGGCGAAGGCGGGUCUCUGGGCAGUAACUGACGCUGAGGAGCGAAAGCGUGGGGAGCGAACAGG